GCUCUAGAGCACAGGCUUAGUAGUUGUGGUGCACGGGGUUAGUUGCUCCACAGCAUGUGGGAUCCUCCCAGGCCAGGGCUCCAAUCCGUUUCCCCUGCAUUGGCAGACGGAUUCUUAACCACUGCGCCACCGGGGAAGUCCUAAGUGCAUUUGUUUUUUUAAUUUCAUUUAUUUAUUUAUUUUUAUUUUUGACUGCGUUGGGUCUUCGUUGCUGUGUGCGGGCUUUCUCUAGUUGCGGCGAGCGGGGGCUACUCUUUGUUGAGGCGCACGGGCUUCUCAUUGCAGUGGCUUCUCUUGUUGCGGAGCAUGGGCUCUAGGCGCGUGGGCUUCAGUAGUUGUGGCACACGGGCUCAGUAGUUGUGGCUCGCGGCUUCAGUAGUUGUGGCACGUGGGCUCAGUAGUUGUGGCUCGCAGGCUCUAGAGCGCAGGCUCAGUAGUUGUGGCGCACAGGCUUAGUUGCUCCACAGCAUGUGGGAUCUUCCAGGACCAGGGAUUGAACCCGUGUCCCCUGCAUUGGCAGGCAGAUUGUUAACCAUUGCGCCACCAGGGAAGUCCUUCCUUUCUUUUUUAAAAAAUAGAUUCACAUGCAGUUGUAAGAAGUAAUGCAUACCCUGAGAAAACCAUAAUUCAAAAAGAGACAUGCACUACAAUGUUCACUGCAGCGUUAUUUACAAUAGCCAGAACAUGGAACCAACCUAAAUGUCCAUCAACAGAUGAAUGGAUAAAGAAGAUGUGGCACAUAUAUACAAUGGAAUAUUACUCAGCCAUAAAAAGAAACAAAAUUGAGUUAUUUGUAGUGAGGUGGAUGGACCUAGAGUCUGUCAUACAGAGUGAAGUAAGUCAGAAAGAGAAAAACAA